AUUUCAAACCUUCAAUUACCGAACGUGAUUGCGAAUUCCGAUAUCGGUCUUCAGUGAUUACGAAAUCAAGUUCUGAAACCUAUAACUUCCGAUUUCUGCUUUAGAAGCAAUUUCCGAUUCCGAGUCUACAACUGUACUGGAUUCCGAUUGGCAAUAGUUCCGACGAACGAAUUCCGAUUGAUGAUUUAUUCCGAUUUUGGAAUUCCGAAAUCAAUUUCAGUUUUACCGUUCAAAUUCGAUUUCAAACUCCGAAUGAUUCCGAAGCUCUGAAGAUGAAAGUAACAUUCGAGUGGUGAUUUUGAUGUUAGACUCCGAUCAAGAUAUAUCGAUUCCACUACAGUCACAAACGAAUUCUGAUUUUGACCAUCAAUUCCAAAUUUUGACCACAAAAUCCGAAAAUAUUCCUUAAAUUUCAAUAAACUAGGGGUUGUUUGGUAGCCUCUUAAUUGUAAAAUUAAGAGGCAACCUUUUAAUUUUUCAGAUUCAGUGUGUUUGGUUACCUAUUAAUAAAAGUCUCUUAAUCUUUUAAAAGCCUCUUAAACUUUCAGACUUGAAUGGGUAUCUGAAUAAAAAGAAGAGAUGCUCAUUCCUCUUUUGCCUCGUUUCAUAAAACACACACCUACCUUUCUCGAUCAUCUAUUUGGUCUUCACCCUCUUCCGACCAACUUCAGCGCCUCCCAUCUCCUCCCAUCGUCGACCUCGCACAGCACUGUCGCACCCAUCGUCGCCUCGCCAAGUUACGACCACCGACGCCAAGCUCUUUGACAGCGCCAGCAAGACCCAACCACCAUCUGGAAAAGAAGAAACCCAGGUGACUUUAUCUAUAACAUACGACUCUUUUCUUUUGAAUUUAAAGUUUUUGAGUAAUUGGUCAGUCGACUAUUUUCAUUUGAAUUUCAAGCUUCUGGGCCAUUUUCUUCCCUGUGAUUCGUCUUCUUGAUAGCCAUGCCAGAGUCGACAUGUCUCCUGCAUUUUCUACCUUAACCCAACAACCAUUGUGCAGGCAAUAGAAAUUCAAAGAUAUUCGGGUUCAAGAAAACCGGGUUCAACGGGAAGGACAUGGAUGCGCUUUAUGGGCAAUGUUGGAUAGAGAUAACAUCACAAAGGUAGCCACAAUAGUUUAUUUCUUAACCAAGAAUGCAUUCAUUCAUUUUCUCAAUGGUUUUCCAAAUAUGGAGUUUCUUCAUUUGAUGAUUAUUGAAGUACCUUAAUUCAAUCCAUGUUCCUCCAUCUAAUCUACAUCGUAACAGUUAGCAUCUUCUUUAAUUGAUCGACAAUAGAUAGUUUUAUUGAUUAUGCAUCUGUCACUUGGUGAUGAUUGAUUUUAUAGCUUGUUUUUGUAAGGGUUAAAUGUAAGAAAUAACAAUGUAUUUUUUUUGCUUUCUUUAUUAUAGCAUCAUACUUUUGCC